GACGAACCGUGCGAACGUUAUUCGGAAUCACUGGGCUUAAAGCGCGUGUAGGCGGGGCGGCACGUCGGCCGUUGAAAUCCCCCGGCUCAACCGGGGAAGGGGCGCCGAUACGACCGCCCUCGAGGAACGUAGGGGGAGCUGGAACUUCCGGUGGAGCGGUGAAAUGCGUUGAGAUCGGAAGGAACGCCCGUGGCGAAAGCGGCCAUCUGGACGGAUACUGACGCUGAGACGCGAAAGCGUGGGGAGCAAACAGG
rnacentral:rRNA from 1 species